rnacentral:rRNA from 1 species
AUGGCUCAGAUUGAACGCUGGCGGCGUGCUUAACACAUGCAAGUCGCGCGUGAAAGGACUUCGGUCCGAGUAAAGCGGCGCACGGGUGAGUAACGCGUGGAUGAUCUACCCAUGAGUUAGGAAUAACGGCUGGAAACGGUCGCUAAUACCAAAUACGCUCCGAUUUCAACUUCGGGGGAAAGGUGGCCUCUGCUUGCAAGCUACUGCUCAUGGAUGAGUCCGCGUCCCAUUAGCUAGUUGGUGGGGUAACGGCCCACCAAGGCGACGAUGGGUAGCCGGUCUGAGAGGAUGACCGGCCACACUGGGACUGGAACACGGCCCAGACUCCUACGGGAGGCAGCAGUGGGGAAUAUUGCGCAAUGGGCGAAAGCCUGACGCAGCGACGCCGCGUGAGGGAUGAAGGGUCCCUCGGAUCGUAAACCUCUGUCAGGAGGGAAGAACCGCCACGGUGCUAAUCAGCCGUGGUCUGACGAUACCUCCAAAGGAAGCACCGGCUAACUCCGUGCCAGCAGCUGC